rnacentral:rRNA from 1 species
UACGUAGGGGUGCGAGCGUUGUCCGGAAUUAUUGGGCGUAAAGAGCUCGUAGGCGGCUUGUCACGUCGGGUGUGAAAGCCCCGGGGCUUAACCCCGGGUCUGGCAUUCGAUACGGGCUGGCUAGAGUGUGGUAGGGGAGAUCGGAAUUCCUGGUGUAGCGGUGAAAUGCGCAGAUAUCAGGAGGAACACCGGUGGCGAAGGCGGAUCUCUGGGCCAUUACUGACGCUGAGGAGCGAAAGCGUGGGGAGCGAACAGG